UACGAAGGGAGCUAGCGUUGUUCGGAAUCACUGGGCGUAAAGAGCUCGUAGGCGGUUUGUUGCGUCGGCUGUGAAAUCCCGAGGCUCAACCUCGGGUCUGCAGUCGAUACGAGCAAACUAGAGUGUUGCAGGGGAGACUGGAAUUCCUGGUGUAGCGGUGAAAUGCGCAGAUAUCAGGAGGAACACCGGUGGCGAAGGCGGGUCUCUGGGCAACAACUGACGCUGAGGAGCGAAAGCGUGGGGAGCGAACAGG
rnacentral:rRNA from 1 species